rnacentral:lncRNA from 1 species
UUGUCAAUUAUUCUUUUAAAAAUGCUGUUCCAUGAACAGAGAGCAAAUUCAGCUUAACAGUUCAAUCACAGAAGUGCCUUUCUUUGAGAAAAUCUUUGUACUUUGGUCAAGUAGAAGCUCUUUUUGUGCACUUCCCAUUUUGUCACAUAUUAUUCAUAUUAUUAAAGCGAUGUUGAUGUUUACUCAAGGGUCAGAUUUCAUUCACAUUUUUAUGACUUCACUAGAGAUACUCUUACAAUGAAAGGUCUUUUUUUUUUUUUUUGUACCGGGGAUUAACUCAGGGUCACUCAACAACUGAGCCACAUCCCCAGUCCUUGUUUGUAUUUUAUUUAGAGACAGGGUCUCAUGAGUUGCUUAGCAAGCCUGGCUGUUGUUAAUCCUCUUGAACUUGCAAUCCUCUUGCCUCAGCCUCCUAAAUUGCUGGGAUUACAGGUGUGCACCAGCACGCUCAACUAAAGAGGCAUUUUUUUUUUUUUAACUGAAGAUAUGUUUUGAUGCCACUAUCUCAAUUCAUGUAAAGGUGUCAACAGUUUGACCACCAUUGUUUUUUCACCAUCAGUGCAAAUGUCAGCCCAGUGAAAAUGGCAAAUAACUUUUUAGAUUUUUUUUGUUUUUGUUUUUUAGAAAUCCCAAAAGGAUUUCCAGGACCUGCAGAGCCUAUGAACUACCGUGUAAGAACUAUUAGCAUGGUAAACAUUAAUCUUACUUUUUUAAAAAAUAUUUUUUUUAGUUGUAUAUGGACACAAUACCUUUAUUUUAUUUGUUUUAUUUUUAUGUGGUGCUGGGGAUCAAACCCAGUGCCUCUCGCAUGCGAGGCAAGCACUCUACCACUGAGCCAUAACCCCGGUCCCCAAUUUUUUUUUUAAUAAAAAUCAAGAAGAAUUAAGGAAAAACUUUAGUUCACUCAGGCUUCCUUGGUAUAGUGGGAGCUCUCUUUGCACCUGCACUUAUAUUUUUGGUACUUUUGAAAGAGAAACUUGGUAGCACAAUGCUGUCUUGCCUUGUCUUUCUCUGUAGUAGCUGGUCAGCCUGCCCACUGAGCAUGUACCGUAUUCCUCUGUGACUCUGGCAUCACAGAGGCCUGCCUUGAUUUUUCAGUAUUGCCAAUGACUGGCAAAUAGUUUAAAUAUUUUG